rnacentral:rRNA from 1 species
GCUUAGAGUUUGAUCCUGGCUCAGAUUGAACGCUGGCGGCAUGGCUAAAACAUGCAAGUCGAACGAGCUCUUCGGAGCGAGUGGCGAAAGGGCGAGGAAUACGAUCGAAUGUACCCCGAGGUGCGGGAUAGGUCAUGGAAACGUGGCGUAAUACCGCAUGUGCUCUCCGGAGGAAAGGCUUGCCGCCUUGGGAGCAGCGAUCGUCCUAUCAGGUUGUUGGUGAGGUAACGGCUCACCAAGCCGAAGACGGGUAGCGGGUGUGAGAGCAUGACCCGCCGCAUCGGGACUGAGACACUGCCCGGACUCCUACGGGAGGCUGCAGUAACGAAUCUUCCGCAAUGGGCGAAAGCCUGACGGAGCAAUGCCGCGUGUGGGAUGAAGCAUCUCAGAUGUGUAAACCACUGUCAGGGUCUAGGAACAAUGACCAGACCCAGAGGAAGGGCCGGCUAAUUCCGUGCCAGCAGCCGCGGUAAUACGGAAGGCCCGAGCGUUAUUCGGAAUCACUGGGCUUAAAGCGUACGCAGGCGGAUUUGUAGGUAUCUCGUGAAAUCCCACGGCUCAACCGUGGAACUGCGGGGUAAACCACAAGUCUUGAGGCAUGUAGGGGUCAGUGGAACGAUGUGUGGAGCGGUGAAAUGUGUAGAUAUACAUCGGAACGCCAAUGGCGAAGGCAGCUGACUGGGCAUGUCCUGACGCUCAGGUACGAAAGCGUGGGUAACGAACGGGAUUAGAUACCCCGGUAGUCCACGCCGUAACGAUGCGCACUAGGUCGUGGUACCUCUCAUGGUUUCACGGCUGAAGGUAAACUGGUUAGUGCGCCGCCUGGGGAGUACGGUCGCAAGGCUAAAACUCAAAGGGAUUGACGGGGGCUCACACAAGCGGUGGAGCAUGUUGC